UUAAGUUCAGCGGGUAUUCCUACCUGAUCCGAGGUCAACCUUAAAAUUGGUAAAGCAAGACCGGGUUAAAAGGCCACUAACAUGCGUGCUGAUUAAAGCUCGUUGCAUAUAGGGUUCUAAUAACACCGUCAUUAUCUUUGGGGCCUGUCUUUAACGACAAGAGGUCCAACAGCAAGCCGAGCUUGAUUAGUGAUAAUGAC
rnacentral:misc_RNA from 1 species